AGUUUGAAAACAAGAAAGUUUUGAAAUCAAAGAGAGAAGAUUUUGAAAAUUAAAGAAGGGGAAGAGAAGAAGAGACUAUCCUAUUGCAUAAAGUAAAAUCUAGGGAGGAAAUAUCUAACCAAGAGAUAUCAAGCUUUAUGACAUAAGUCAAGCAAGAAUUCCCUCCUUUGGAUUAAGCCUAAAGCAAGCCAAAUAAACAAAGAAUGAUCCAUGUAUCAGAUGAAACCAAGAUAAC
rnacentral:lncRNA from 1 species